rnacentral:sRNA from 1 species
CAGCUGUUAGCAAAUCCCACCCCUACUGA